AGAAACAAAACAAGGAAGAAAAGAUUAGGAAAAAGUACACAUAGAAGAAAUUCCACCUACCUUUGGAAGUGAUGCUCGUGAGCCUGAGCUUUGUGUUGUCAUGGUCAGUACAGUUGUUAUGCCUAAAGCCACUCUGGCUGGAGCUGCAUCCAUAUUGAUCCAAAAUGACACCCAAGAGAGAAUCACGAUCAAAAGACUUGGUAUCCCAGCAGAAUAGGACAGGCUGCCUACAGAUUACUGCUGCAAUGAACGUGGGAGAGUUUUGGACUGCACCCUAAAUUUCAAGCAACUAGGCAACAGAGAGGACUUCGCAGAACUAACUAACCUGUCUUCAGC